GCUGUUCUUCCAGGAAAGAGAGGAGCGGGUUCUUCUGAGCAGUGGCCUGCAACCAGGAAGAGGGAUCGUCCAGGAGCCCAGACAGAGAAACUGGAAGAAGUGAACCUGAGCAGCCUGGACAUCCUUGUAAGCAGAGAUGAAGAGUCCUCAGCUUUCUGCCUUCUCCAUGACUGGCUUACCACAGACAGAGAAGUCAAGGGUAAGAGCCCACCCCCGUUUUGAGAUGUAAAGUGCACAAGAGCCGUGAGACAGCGAGCGUUGUUGAUGCCAGGCUAUGCAGAGGCCAUCGAGCUGGGAGUGGAGCAGACGUCACCAUCAUUGAGAUAAGUGUCUGGUUCGGUGAAGACUCUGCUAACGGCCCACCUGCCUCCAGGCUGGGACUUGUCGUUAGCUGGGGCUCGGUUUGUAGGAAAAGAUUCCUGAGUAGCUGUGGUUGCGAGGGAGACAAGUUCCCCAUUUUCAGGGUCUGGUCAUUUCUCUGUUCACAAGCAGUGUGUCCUCUCCAGCAGAACGUUAGAUCCAGGGGGAUGACUCCAGCUGCUGCGCUGGCAGAGGAAUUGUCCAGGAGCCCUACCCGGAGGAGAGACUCUCAGAAGUGGACCUGAUUACCCUGAACAUCCUUCUAAGCAGACAUGAACAGUCCUCAGCUUUCUCCCUCCUGCAUAACUGGCUGUGAGUAAAUGUACCAAGAGAAAAGAAGUCACGCGUCAGAGUCUACUGUCCUCACACAAUGGAAAGCGAGCAAGAGCGACGAGACCACAAGCAUUGUUGAUGCGAUGCAAAAGCCGUCCAUCUGUGAGUGGAACCGCCACCACUCUCAGUGAGAUAAGUGUCUGGUUUGGUGGUUGCUCUGCUCAUGGCCCACCUCCUGGUAGGGACACCCCUUUAGCUAGGGCUGGGUUUGUAAGAAAAGGUUCCUAACUAGUGGUUACGAGGGAGACAAGGUCCCCAUUUUCAGGGGCUG